rfam:Loxodonta africana unplaced genomic scaffold scaffold_108, whole genome shotgun sequence.
CAAAAGGCUCUUUUCAGAGCCACUCACUUUCCAAGAAAGCCAGCU